GGGUGUGAGGCGGGAGGAACGCCCGUGACCGGAGCCCCUGGCCCCGCCCCGAGCCCGCAGCCGUCGCCCAGGACCCCCGCCUCGAGAUCUGCAGAGACCGGGGCCUCCGGGACCCCGCCUCCGAUCCCCGCCUACCGGGGCCGCCGCGUCCUCCUCAUCCAUAGGCCUCUCAGCUCCGCGUUGUAGCUCUUCGGCCGCCGCCACCACACACAUCCGGGUCCCCGCCCUUCCUCUGCUCCGUGAGGUCCGCCCCUUACCGCUGAAUCUGACCAAUCUGCAGUGCUCUGUGAAGACGGGCGCCCUCAGCAGCCAAUCGGAAGGCUCGAGAGGUGCGGGGCGCGGCCCGGAGCCAGAGGCCGAUCUCCACAGCGGCAUCACUCGGCUAGCACCAUAUGCUUUCUUCUCUCCGGAGCACCACUUUGCACUACGUUCGUUCAUUCCAGGACGGACGUUCCAGAACAGGAGAGAACUUCAGAUGCAAAAGGCACAGUGGGAUGAACCCCGGUGCUGUUUGAGCUUACUAGGAAAGUUAGCUCGGGUCAGAAUGUACCGGAAAGGAUACUAACCUUUAUCAUGCACCUCCUAUACAGGGUGUGAUUGCCCUUGGAAGGAAUUGGGAUGCUUGGACAACUUCCAUGUUUUGCUGCUAAGACUGAACAUUCUUUCCAGAAAGACUCAUGCUGUGUCAGAAACAUAAAUGAACAUAUUUGUGUCUUUCCACAUCUAAAUUUAUUGAGUAUCAAUACAUUUACAAGCGAUGUCGA